GUGCUCCCUGGGCCAGCCACUCCCCUUCAGCAGGUGCUCAAUCAUCAGUUCAAGCCAUGACCUAACAGCUUCCCUAUGUGGGGUAUUCUGUAUUUUGCCCCAAAAGUCUUGCAGUCCAGCCCAGGUUAUAUUUGAAAAGUGGACAGUGGAGAAAUGGAAUUUUCUAACACUAUCAGUCAGGUAGAUAGGCAAAUUUCCUAGUGCAGAGAUUCCACUGCAGAAGUGGUGGUGGUGGUGGAGGAGUUACUCAUGCAAUCUUCUCCAGGAGCACAGCAGCCAGUCAGGUGCUGAGUCAGAGCUCCAGGACAGGCCUUCCUCUCAAAACUGAUGGAUGGAAACCUAAGACAGUGUUUCAUUUCCUGCACGUGGUUGUCUAUUGAGAAAAGAUGCAUGGAUUAAGUCUUCAGCAUGGUGUCAGAUUUCUGCUCUUCAGUACCUUGCAGCCUUGAAGAUGAGAAAGCAACCAAAAUGGCUCUUUCGGUGUGACAGAAACAGACCACUUCCUGUGAGGAUCUGGGAGCAAACAGAACAGUUUCCAAGUUCUGUAUUCAACGUUUCUUACGAUGUUCAGCCUUAUUUUGAAUUUUGCUUGGUCUGGUUUUGCUUAUGUAGCAGAGCUGAUGGCAUCUGCUGGGAUGGUUUACGUGCUGCAGUUUUCUUUCUUCAUCUAGAAUCAAUAUGAGCACCAUAAAAAAGAUGCUGUGGGUUAUUAAAAUCAUUUUAACAACAUUGUUGACUCAACAAGAGCAAGAAGAUAAUGCCUAAGGAUUCUGAAUUUUCCCUACUUUUUUUUUUUAACUGGAAAAAUAAUAACUUGGUACAGGCAGAUUUGCUUGAGAGUGCUGCUUUUUUUUUUUAAAAAUAGCCUGCUGCUUCACUGUUGUAACUCACAGUGGUUUAUAAGCCUGGGUGUUUUACUACUUUACUCUCUGUGAAUCUUGUUAACAAGGUGACUAUGCAUUUUUUUAAGGAAAUAAGUAAUGACUUUUAAAAUACAAACCAAGCAUAUUUUUGAGAAAAUGGAGUUUGCCUUUCUCGUCCCCUGAUUUGGUUCAAAAUCUUACCCAACAGUGUGUGACUUUCUAGAAUAAAGGACACAUUCCCUAUUAGGAUCGUUAAGACCACAAAAAUAGAAGCUCUUGGGUGGCUUAACAAUUAGAUUGAGAUAUUUCCUAGUGAGCAUCUCCUUUGAAAAAAGCAUUAUUGAGACAGAAGUUCUUCCUGAGAAAAUAUUUAUCUUGCUGUAUGGAAGGGACAAGUCAGUUCACUGAAAAAGUGUCCUGUCUGAAACAGUUGGUGUGAGAUUACUGAGUACCCUCUGGUGCUUCUUCUGCGUCCUUUGGGUUGCAGGGAGCAGUCCCUGAAGGUAACGUUGCCACCUUGGGCUCCAGCAUUGUAAAUGCUCACAUAGGAAGCUCUGCCAAGAAAAUUGUUACCUAACACUUGAAAGCUGCUUGUUACCUUUAGGACAGGGAGACCAAACCCUGUUGCUCUUCUCAAAGCAGAGAGAUUUAGCCUUUUUCACAGACAGUUGAACUAUAUCUCAUUAUAUUGAGAUUUUCUUACUCUUAAGGUGUUUUUUUCUGGAUACCUUAGGGUCACUUUGGGAAAUUGUUCCUCAGUGAAUGGCCUCAAAGUCACUCUAAUAGCUGUUCUAUUUCUGAACUCUCUGUAAUUUAAAGAUAUUUUUUCUUUUCCCCAGACCAUCUAUAACCUCAUGCUUUACUGAAUAAAAACUAUAUCUUUCUUCUUUUAAUGCACAGGUAGCUUAUUUGCUCUCAGUUUUCAUGAAUUGAUGUUACGCACAGCAAAUGGUACACUUGCGGGAAAACAUUUAUAAGUGAGAGCUGAACCUGAGGCACUCUAAAUCAUCACUGUAACAAAUAAUAUAUAUUUUUGAAAUGAACUGCCCAACAGUUCUACAAAUGUAUUUAAAUAAUUUGAUUUAGGGUGAUAUAUUUCUGUGUUCAUCCUGUGGGUUGAAAAGAAAGACAAAACAAGAUAACACAUCAAGAUCCCAGGACCAUUUUUUUUUUAGUAGGUUCUGAAUUGUGUCCCAAGAGUAAGAAGUAAGGAUAAGCUCCACCGUCUUACUCUCCCAACAUGUAUCACUUGGCUGGAAAGGUGUUUGUCACCUAAGCUCUAUGUUGAAGAUGCUGCAGCAUCAAAUCAGUUUCACUGGCAUAGUUACUCAAUGUUUUGUAACUGGGAAUGGUCAAGGACAAAAGAUGAGCUUUCUGCAGGGAAAAAUAACUAUGGAGGGAGAUGCCUAAUGUAAUUAGAAGAAAAAAAAACGAAAACGUUAAAUGUCAGAUAUCUAAUAAAAGACGGUAAAUGCCUCUAAAAAGGAAAAAAACAAACAACAACAGCAACAAACUCCAUCUUCUCUGCAUAGUAUGGUUUCCUCUUUGACUGCUCUGGAAAAAAACAUAGACAAGGGU